rnacentral:rRNA from 1 species
AACUUUUAACAACGGAUCUCUUGGUUCUGGCAUCGAUGAAGAACGCAGCGAAAUGCGAUAAGUAAUGUGAAUUGCAGAAUUCAGUGAAUCAUCGAAUCUUUGAACGCACAUUGCGCCCCCUGGCAUUCCGGGGGGCAUGCCCGUUCGAGCGUC